CCUCUUAAAAUCUGGCCACAAGGAACUUCUAGAAGGACCACUACUGGCCCUAAAAUGCGGAAACUUCCCUCUCUGCCCCCACCACAAACAAGGGGAAUGGAGAAGGCAGAGGGGACCUCUUCCUGGAAAGUGCACAUCUAGCCCUGCUCACCCUUUGUGACUCAGGCAAGGGUGUCCUCUGGCUUGCUCUACAGAGCGAGGCAACAAAGGAGCUCUGGCCCUGAACAAAGGCAAGGCAGAUUCACCAGACCCCCAACCACUGACUCUGGGAAGAGGCACCUUAGGAAGACCAGGGACAGACCUGAGGAUCCAGAUGGCAGGACUGAGAUCACAGAGCACAAGAAAAAAGAGUUGGGUCUUAAAUAACCUACUUGGGUGGAGCUUCAUCUUCUUCUCAACCAAUGGUGAGUGAGACUGAGGAGAAAAUGGAAACAGAAGGUCUCCACAGUAGAAAGUAGGAGAAGAGGCAGGCGAGGGGAGUGUCUGUUCUGCAUGGAGAAGGAGGAUCAAAGAGACCUAGUAAGCCAAAGUGUUCACAUCAAAACCUGACAGGAAAGAAAGAAAAUGCAAAGGAGAAGAGUGGAUUCUUGAUGUUCCUGGAGAUUGAGGAUGGUAGAAGAUGCAGAGAAGCCCCACGCCCGCCUCAGUGUCCACUGCUCAUUCUCCUACCACAGGCAAUGCAGAGAGAGGGCUAGUUCCCACGCCAAGCACUCCUUCCUCUUUACCCUUCACAGCACUCUUGGAGGAGCUGUCCUUAGCUCCAUUUUACAGGAUCUCAGCAGUUCAUGAAUUUUCCCCUUGCACACAGCUAGAAUAGAAGCUAUGAAGCAUUCAUCGGCAAAUUGGUAACUGAAGAAGAAUAUUCAGGAACUGUAACUCUCCUAAAACAGGAAAUGUCCUCUUUUUUGUGAUGUUGGCCACCAGGACACCCUCCUGCACACAUUACACUUUACUAGGAAAAUGGUAUCACCAAGGGACAAUAAAACAUGUAUCUUGCUGACAAGGAAGGAUGGAAAGGGAAACCCAUUACUAGAGUUGAUGCUGACUCAGGGGAGACUCAAAUGAAUGGGCAAUGGACCUGAGCCUCAAGGGUACAGAGUGAAAGGAAGAAUGAGAAAAACCUAAAGGAUAAUCCAGAAGUAGCUGGAUCCCUGCAUCAUAGCAUCUACUUUAGCGGGAGAAUUUUAGUCUGUUUAGGAACAAAGACUUCUUUCGUACA